UGGGGAAUUUUGGACAAUGGGCGCAAGCCUGAUCCAGCCAUGCCGCGUGAGUGAAGAAGGCCUUCGGGUUGUAAAGCUCUUUCGGCGGGGAAGAAAUGGCUUCGGUUAAUACCCGGAGUAGAUGACGGUACCCGCAUAAGAAGCACCGGCUAACUACGUGCCAGCAGCCGCGGUAAUACGUAGGGUGCGAGCGUUAAUCGGAAUUACUGGGCGUAAAGCGUGCGCAGGCGGUUGCGUAAGUCAGAUGUGAAAUCCCCGGGCUCAACCUGGGAACUGCAUUUGAAACUGCACGGCUAGGGUGUAGCAGAGGGGGGUAGAAUUCCACGUGUAGCAGUGAAAUGCGUAGAGAUGUGGAGGAAUACCGAUGGCGAAGGCAGCGCCCUGGGUUACUACUGACGCUCGUGCACGAAAGCGUGGGGAGCAAACA
rnacentral:rRNA from 1 species